UCAGCUCAGCUGCUGCGCCGCUCUGCCAGACGCGCUUUGCGGGGAACAAUGAGGAGGAUCCGCCUUAAUUAAACCCUUGGAAGCUUCCCGGGCAGUGAGAGUCGCGGAUGGAGGGACAAGCAGCUGUGACUGUCGCAGCAGCAUCUUCUGCAGAGCCGGAGGUCGGCACCUCUCUGGAGAGGCCGUUUGCGGGCCGCAGACGGAGAUCUGGGAAGGUUUACACUUCCCACUUACUCCUUGAUGGCUGCACUUAACAUUGCUGCCGGCCCCUGGAACAGCGGCUGACCUAAACGCGAUUUCUGAAGCAUAAAGCGAAGUUUCUCGUUGGUGCAGCCGACUGAUUUCGGUGCCCUGAAGAAUUUGGCCCCUGAUUACCAGCCAGCUGACAGACAUGAAUCAGGGGCGGUGAAAAAUCAGAGCUCUAAGCACUUUCAAUGGGUGUUGAAAUUAUGAUUUUUUUGAAAUCUCCCUGAAUUCCAGACCUAUGUGGCUUUCUGUGGAGACAGACCACACCCUGAGCUAAGUCUGGGUCCUUUCCCACGUCCUAAAAGUCCCUGCUAGCAACCAGACUGUGACCAUCUCCAUGACCUCUGAAAACAUGCUGUUUAGGUCAUUCACCAGGGAUGUAGGAGUCCUGGGUGGAAAUACACUGCUAGCAUGACUCAGAACAGAGCAAUGAUUUCAGGUACUCCUUGUGACCCCCAGAUAUUCAUUUCUGUUGUGACCCAAAACACAAUCAUGCAUUGCUCGCAACGUUUCUUGUAUUGUGAGUACCUUUAUUUUAGAAAUGUAUUAACAUGAAGAUUAUUUCAUUUUUG